CCUACGGGUGGCAGCAGUGAGGAAUAUUGGUCAAUGGCCGGAAGGCUGAACCAGCCAUGCCGCGUGAAGGUCAGUGCCCUAUGGGCGUUAAACUUCUUUUGUGCGGGAGCAAUAAUGGUCACGUGUGGCCAGACGAGAGUACCGUACGAAUAAGCAUCGGCUAACUCCGUGCCAGCAGCCGCGGUAAUACGGGGGAUGCAAGCGUUAUCCGGAUUUAUUGGGUUUAAAGGGUGUGUAGGCUGUGAGGUAAGUCAGCGGUGAAAUGCCCCCGCUCAACGGGGUGAAGUGCCAUUGAUACUGCCUGGCUGGAAUGCGGAUGCUGUGGGAGGAAUGUGUGGUGUAGCGGUGAAAUGCAUAGAUAUCACACAGAACACCGAUUGCGAAGGCAUCUCACGAAGCCGCGAUUGACGCUGAUGCACGAAAGCGUGGGUAUCAAACAGGAUUAGAUACCCCUGUAGUC
rnacentral:rRNA from 1 species